rnacentral:tRNA from 1 species
AGUUAUAUAUUCAAUAAUGAUUUUAAAUUGCAAAUUUAAAGGUAGUACUAGUGCUUAUAAUUU